UAUUUAACAGUCUUUGCUACUAAAAUAACCGAAACGUGCAUCUGCCUUUCACGUUUGAACGUAGCGACGUAAUGCGUAUAGUUCCCAAAGAAAAGUCGGAAGUGGCUUCCAUAUUCCACAGUCAGACGUUUUCCUACUCUGCGACGUAAAAUGGUUAUGUCCUUAAUGCCAAAAUGAGCAAUAUAUUACCAAGGUUCCCUUCCUCUUUCCUCUCUCCGUCUUAUCGUGCAGCUCGUGUCUGCAGCUCUGUGGGAGAUAGUGGAGCAGGGAGCUGUGGUGUACUAUGGUCUGCUGGAGGAGUUCGUUACUACAAUGUUGGAAACGGUCCCUGAACCGCUCACAUACACAGAUAGUCCAACUAGCUAUGGGCCUACGUGCAAACUCUCUUUGUAUGCCAACAGGUGGUGCUAGAGUUGUGCAGCAACAGUGAUUUUGCCAGCCCACAGGCCAUCCAGCCUCAUCUGAGCAGAAUUAACACCUACAUUACAAACCAGGAUAAAGAGACUUCCAGCUCUGAGGUAAAAGCAUCAGUGGCAAACUUCCUGAAGCUUGUUCAAACUCGUGGAUGAUCAAUGUCAGAGAAAUACAUGUUAUCAGAAAAUAUUUCCAACAGUUUUUGGCCCUAAAUAUGACUCAGCCCUACUGACUCUAAUGAGAAAAUUCCUCUUCAAUCUGCAGAAGCUUUUACCUGUUCCAAACCUUGAACAAACUUCCCUUUGGCUCAGUCUCCUUCUAUCUUAAAAGAGUGUUUAGACGUCCUGAAUCAACCUGAGCCCCUGAAUGCACUUAUUCAGCAUCACAAACAUCAUGGCCACAAAGUUUGACAUGCUUUUUCUUCCUCUGGUGAUGAUUUCAUUCUUUCCAGCCUGUCCUAUCACCUACCAUAUGUGGAUAAUGACAAAGGAGACACACUUGGUGAGUUGAAACAGAAGAAAGAAGAAAAUUCCAAGGUGAUAAAUUCAGAAAUGUUGCGGAAUAACAAUAGAAAUGGACAGAAGCAUGUUAUUGAUCUGACUGAAGACCAAGGAGCUUCUGUUAAAGUAAUACUUCAACCUUUUGAUAAAAGUGAGUCUAAUGACAUGGACAAAGAAGGGUUCCACCAUUUGAAAACUGGCAGUAUGACAUCCUCAAAAACCUUCAUGUGUCUUGUCUGUGGCAAAGAUUCUGGUUUCCCAAGGAAACUAAAGGAACACAAGAGUGCCCAUAAUGGUUGCUGUACAAACCCAACGAGUCAGUCAAAUUCUGUGGGCCAAAGUAGCUUUUUUGAGAAAAUAAAUGUACAUGUUAAAGCAAAGACUUUUGAGAAUAAUGCUUCUAGAAGGAGAAUAGGCUUUCAUCAUGUGCCACAACAAAUAACCCAUCAAAUAUAUACAGACUUCAACAUUUUGAGCAGUCUAAUGAUGACACUGGUCUUGUUUGUCAUAUCUGUGGCAGGGCUUGCACUUACCCAAAGAAUUUUGACAAACACCAGAGGA